AUUGAACGCUAGCGGGAUGCUUUACACAUGCAAGUCGAACGGCAGCGCGGACUUCGGUCUGGCGGCGAGCGGCGAACGGGUGAGUAAUGUAUCGGAACGUGCCCAGUAGCGGGGGAUAACUACGCGAAAGCGUAGCUAAUACCGCAUACGCCCUACGGGGGAAAGCAGGGGAUCGUAAGACCUUGCACUAUUGGAGCGGCCGAUAUCGGAUUAGCUAGUUGGUGAGGUAACGGCUCACCAAGGCGACGAUCCGUAGCUGGUUUGAGAGGACGACCAGCCACACUGGGACUGAGACACGGCCCAGACUCCUACGGGAGGCAGCAGUGGGGAAUUUUGGACAAUGGGGGCAACCCUGAUCCAGCCAUCCCGCGUGUGCGAUGAAGGCCUUCGGGUUGUAAAGCACUUUUGGCAGGAAAGAAACGUCGCGGGCUAAUACCCCGUGGAACUGACGGUACCUGCAGAAUAAGCACCGGCUAACUACGUG
rnacentral:rRNA from 1 species